CCUCAGCAGUAGGCUGGGGGAUGUGGAAUACAGAGGGAGAGGUGACCCUUCCUUUAGGAGGAUGGGAAUGAUGUUCCUUGAAUCUAAGACAUGGAUAGAAGGUGCCUUUACCAGGUCGUGUCACACUGACCACUCUGAGUGACUUCACCAGUCUUUCUGGCAAGCACCUGUGGCCACUGCAGUCACAACUUUUUUCCUUGAGCUGGUAGAAGCUGACCAGUCACCUUGGUCAAGUGCACCAGGUAUGACUAGGAGGUAAACUGGCUGAAUUUUACCUAAGCUUGCCAACAAAAUGUUCUCAGAGUCAAUGUCCCAGGCUUUGGAUAUCUCAAAGUGGCACAUCAUGUACUUCUGAAAGGGAACUGUACCUUUCUCCACGGAGGAUGCAGAACCCACCCCAGACAUGUUGACGUUUUUACACCACAUACCUCAGCCAGAGAGAAAACUUCGUAUCCUGAGAUACGUCACAACAAACCACAACUCUGUGAAGCACUAUUCCUCUAUUCUGACCCUUUAUCCUGUGAGAUGUUAAGUGUGUUUCUACCAAUGAAAUAAGGAACAGACCAACCGUCACUUAGUUGCUUUCCUUUACUUUCUGUGUGUGUUAUCCAGAGAGUCCAGUUCUUCCAAGGGAAUUCUCUGUAAGCACUGCAAAUAAAGAUACUUUAUUUUAAAU